AACGAACGCUGGCGGCAUGCCUAACACAUGCCAGUCGAACGAGACCUUCGGGUCUAGUGGCGCACGGGUGCGUAACGCGUGGGAACCUGCCCUUAGGUUCGGAAUAACUCCCCGAAAGGGGUGCUAAUACCGGAUAAUGUCUUCGGACCAAAGAUUUAUCGCCUUUGGAUGGGCCCGCGUUGGAUUAGCUAGUUGGUAGGGUAAAAGCCUACCAAGGCGACGAUCCAUAGCUGGUCUGAGAGGAUGAUCAGCCACACUGGGAAUGAGACACGGCCCAGACUCCUACGGGAGGCAGCAGUGGGGAAUAUUGGACAAUGGGCGAAAGCCUGAUCCAGCAAUGCCGCGUGAGUGAUGAAGGCCUUAGGGUUGUAAAGCUCUUUUACCAGGGAUGAUAAUGACAGUACCGGGAGAAUAAGCACCGGCUAACUACGUG
rnacentral:rRNA from 1 species